UACGUAGGGUGCGAGCGUUUGUCCGGAUUUAUUGGGCGUAAAGAGCUCGUAGGCGGUCUGUCGCGUCGGAUGUGAAAACCCAGGGCUCAACCCUGGGCCUGCAUUCGAUACGGGCAGACUAGAGUACGGCAGGGGAGACUGGAAUUCCUGGUGUAGCGGUGAAAUGCGCAGAUAUCAGGAGGAACACCGGUGGCGAAGGCGGGUCUCUGGGCCGAAACUGACGCUGAGGAGCGAAAGCGUGGGGAGCGAACAGG
rnacentral:rRNA from 1 species